CCCUUAGAUGUUCUGGGCUGCACGCGCGCUACACUGGUGCGUUCAGCGAGUUUAGCACCUUAACAGAUAUGUUUGGGUAAUCUUCUGAAAACGCACCGUGAUGGGGAUCGAUUAUUGUAAUUAUUAAUCGUCAACGAGGAAUUCCUAGUAAGUGUGAAUCAUCAGUUCGCGCUGAUUACGUCCCUGCCCUUUGUACACACCGCCCGUCGCUGCUACCGAUUGAGUGGUCCGGUGAGCCAUUCGGACUUUCAUCAUGCUGGUUUCCAGUUUUGAUGAAGGAAAGUCUUGCGAACCUUAUCAUUUAGAGGAAGGAGAAGUCGUAACA
rnacentral:rRNA from 1 species